GUCGAACGGGGAUAUAUUGGAAUGAGGAUUCGUCUGAAGGAAAAUGUAUCUUAGUGGCGGACGGGUGAGUAACGCGUGGGCAACCUACCGUAUACAGGGGGAUAACACUUAGAAAUAGGUGCUAAUACCGCAUAAGCGCACAGCAGUGCAUACUGGAGUGUGAAAAGCCGAGACGGUAUACGAUGGGCCCGCGUCUGAUUAGCCAGUUGGCAGGGUAACGGCCUACCAAAGCGACGAUCAGUAGCCGGCCUGAGAGGGCGGACGGCCACAUUGGGACUGAGACACGGCCCAGACUCCUACGGGAGGCAGCAGUGGGGGAUAUUGCACAAUGGGGGGAACCCUGAUGCAGCGACGCCGCGUGAGUGAAGAAGUAAUUCGUUAUGUAAAGCUCUAUCAGCAGGGAAGAAUAAAUGACGGUACCUGAGUAAGAAGCCCCGGCUAACUACGUGCCAGCAGCCGCGGUAAUACGUAGGGGGCAAGCGUUAUCCGGAUUUACUGGGUGUAAAGGGAGCGUAGACGGCGAUGCAAGCCAGAUGUGAAAGCCCGCGGCUCAACUGCGGUAGUGCAUUUGGAACUGUAUGGCUGGAGUGCAGGAGAGGCAGGCGGAAUUCCUAGUGUAGCGGUGAAAGGGGUAGAUCUUAGGAGAAAUACCAGUGGCGAAGGCGGCCUGCUGGACUGUAACUGACGUUGAGGCUCGAA
rnacentral:rRNA from 1 species